rnacentral:tRNA from 1 species
AGCUAUGACGCCGUCGAUGCUGGGCCUUGUGCGUUUAUGGAAGUUUUGAUUCUACCUAAAGGUC